GAAUAUUGGACAAUGGGGGGAACCCUGAUCCAGCCAUGCCGCGUGGGUGAAGAAGGCCUUUUGGUUGUAAGGCCCUUUAAGCGAGGGGGAGGCUCCUCUGGUUAAUACCUGGAGAUAGGGGCCGUUACUCGCAGAAAAAGCCCCGGCUCACCCUGUCCCAGCCGCCGCGGUAAUACAGAGGGUGCAAGCGUUAAUCGGAUUUACUGGGCGUAAAGCGCGCGUAAGUGGCCAAUUAAGUCAAAUGUGAAAUCCCCGAGCUUAACUUGGGAAUUGCAUUCGAUACUGGUUGGCUAGAGUAUGGGAGAGGAUGGUAGAAUUCCAGGUGUAGCGGUGAAAUGCGUAGAGAUCUGGAGGAAUACCGAUGGCGAAGGCAGCCAUCUGGCCUAAUACUGACACUGAGGUGCGAAAGCAUGGGGAGCAAAC
rnacentral:rRNA from 1 species